rnacentral:rRNA from 1 species
UAAUACGUAGGUGGCAAGCGUUAUCCGGAAUUAUUGGGCGUAAAGCGCGCGCAGGUGGUUUCUUAAGUCUGAUGUGAAAGCCCACGGCUCAACCGUGGAGGGUCAUUGGAAACUGGGAGACUUGAGUGCAGAAGAGGAAAGUGGAAUUCCAUGUGUAGCGGUGAAAUGCGUAGAGAUAUGGAGGAACACCAGUGGCGAAGGCGACUUUCUGGUCUGCAACUGACACUGAGGCGCGAAAGCGUGGGGAGCAAACAGGA